rnacentral:lncRNA from 1 species
AUUGUUGGUUGAUACGAGAAGAACAUUACAGGAAUGUGGGGUUUAUGGUUUAUGGCUUAUGUUGAUGUCAGUAGUUCCAGAGGUGGAAUUUGAGUUAAGUUGUUGGAACAGAGUCUCUAGGAGAAAAUGCUUAAGCUAAUAAGUGGGCUAAUUCAGACUUUUGGUUGUGUUUUUGGACAAAAGAUCAAACAAAUACUCGUGUUCUAAAGU